CAGGCUGACAUGAGAGUUCAAGCUUUGAAAACCUCAACAUUUUUUUCAUGGAAAAUGGUUAGUGGAGUUCAUGAAUGAUACGAGAGUUCUACACUACAAGAAAAUACAGGAUUAGCUACCGUAAUUUAACUUCCAAUUGUUUUCAUAGUUAAUCUCAAUUAAAAAACAACCAUUUAACUUUAAUUACCAACAAUAUUUUUUUUUAUUGACCUAAAAUAAACAAAAAAUAAAAAUCCUCUUCACGCCAUCGUUCUCAUUCUUGUUACCAGUGAAUAGAGAAAAAAAUCAUAAACCAAAAACCCUAUUUCUCUGGUAUUCGUUUUCGAUCAAGCAUCAGAAACAUAAUUCCUCUGUGUUCCCCUGAAUCACAAAUUCUCUGAAUCAAUCGAACUCUCGCUCUGAAUCAAUCAAACUCUCGCUCCAAAUUGAUCAAACUCUCGCUCUGAAUCGAUCUUAGAAUGUUCUCGUUCGCACGAUCUCGCUUAGAAUCGAUAUUUCGAUAAUGUUCGAACUACUUUUCUCUGAAUCACUGCAUUCUCUGCCAUCUACAACAUCAAUCUUCAUUUUUUUUCUUUCUCAAUUUACGAUUUUGAUAGCGUGUCUAACACUUUCAAUUACUUUUGAUAUGCUUUUUAGGGUUCCUGUUUCAGCGGUGUCUCAAGAGUCAAUCUUCACAAUCGCACGUGAAGUAAAGUUAUUGAUGAAGGUGCAUUCUAUUUUCAUUGCAAUUGUGUUGUUAUUUAUCAAUUUAAUUAAUUGGGGAUGAGUUCAUUAAUCAUUAUCGUCGUUUGGGGUUCUGCUUACACUGCUGUUGCAAUUCUUGCUUCUUUUCAAGCCGUCAGUUAUCACUGCACCACUUUCUGAGCUCGACGAAGAAACUGUUCACAAUUUCAUAAGACUAAAAUGGGUUAUGCACAACUUGUUAUUGGUCCUACUGACAGUGGCAAGUCUACAUAUUGCUCAAGUUUGUACCAACAUUGUGAAACUGUACGACGGACAAUACAUACUGUGAGCCUUGAUCCCUGCUGCUGAGAAGUUUGACUAUCCUGUUGCGAUGGGUAAGCAAAAUGCAUUGUGUUGUGUGGCUUCUUCUUUUGUUACUUCAGGUUUCUUGUUUCAUGGAGCUUUACUAUUUUUGGUAUGUAUUGGUGCGAAUGAACGACACUAACUAUCAGCUCUUAUGUGAGACAGAUUGUUGUGGUUAUUCUUCAUCUUCAUCGUUGAAAUCAGAUGAAGACUGCAGCUUGUGUUGUAAUCUCCACCAUUCGGAAGUCAUUCAUAGCUCAUAUUUAUUUCAGUCUUACUGUUUGAUUGUUUUAAUUUUCCAUCAUAGUUUACUACUUAUUGUUAUUGUGUAGCCUAUUAUCUUUUAGGCAAAAAGUGCAAGCACUGACUCGUCACAAAAAAUGGUAAUGCUUUUUUAUGUUAAUCUUGUAACCUAAUUAGGCUUUGGUUUGGUAUAUCCAAUUUGGGUUAUAAAACAGACCGGGUCAUGUUUGAUUAAACAGCUCGACCCGGUUUAUGUUACAAUUCAAAUAACCCAGUUGCUGUUACAAAAAAAUAUAUACCUUGUGUCUUAUAAUUCUAAGCUCACAGCUCUUACCAUAACUUCGAAUAUUAUACAAGAUUCUUCAUUCGAUUUCGAUUUUACUCUCUUCAAUUCUUACUUUCGUUUUUGCUUUUUAGUAGCUAGUUAAUGUUGUUGGAUAAUUUCAUUUUGGACAAAAGGUAUAUAUUAUAUGCUUGUGCUGAAAUGCACAUUAGGAGUUUGAGAAAAUGACUAAAACAAAGAAAUUGUUUUCUAUUUACAUGGUUCUUCUCAUUUUGCUGCAUGUUUUUGUUGUUCAUAAAACUUGAGGUAGAUCAAGUGAAUGAUAAAUUAAGGGGACAAAGCUUUAAGGGACAGACUUGUCAAAAACAAUGUAAAUGUAAGUACUUUAACCUGCUGUCGAGAAAGGAGAUGGAUGCAUAAAGAUCCUAGUAUAGAAUUACGGUGUCGAGUUAUUGGGAGAUUUCGAGACUGAAGAUUAAUAGAGGGGGAUGGGACAUAAUGUCCUUAGAAUUGCUUCAUGCAUUAACAUCUCAGAGUGAAGAUUAUUUCUUUCUUAAGAGAGAGGAACAUUUGAAAGGGUAAAAGUAACAAAACUCAUGGCUUGUGGAUGCGUUGAUGUUCGAGUUGGGAAAUGAUCCUUUACCUUUGGGUUUCUAUGACGAAGACGAAAAUUUGAGUGUUUGUAACCCCUCCCGUUGCAAUAUGACGCGGUAUGAUUCUUUCGCUCUCAUAUUUUACCCCUCACAUUGAUGGUAUUCAAGUUUUACCUUUGUUUCUGUUAUCUCAAACUAAUCUGAAACCAUUCUUAGUUUAGAAUUAUGGAAAUACUUGUUGUGAAAUAAAUUGCUAUUUGAUUGAUUAAGUAAUUCAAUGGUUUGCUAAUAUGGAUUCUCAAGGAGUAAAUCACAAAUGUUAAUGUUGUAUCAUGGAAGUAAUUGCUGGAAAAUGACACCUAUUGCAUGAACAUAGCAGUAAGUUGGUUAUGCUUAAAAAUCAUUUAUGGUCUGCAUUUGUAGUAUAGUCCUGUUUUUAAUCAACAUAUGCUAUAGAAGAUAAAUAGCAAUAGUCUUACCUUUGUGAGAAGAAUCUAGAAACCACUAGAUCGCAAUUGAUGGGAAAUUAGGCAUAGCUAAGUAAUUUUGUGUUUUACCUGUCUGUGUGUUUGGGUUUCGGAUACAAUGUUAAAUGUCAUUCUCUAGUUUACAUGUGAAUCAUCAUGUUAAUCAACAUAUGAUUUUGUAAUAGUCCACAACCUGAGGGAUUUAAUAAUUGAUUGUGUGUGCUUGGAUAGUUAAAGUUGGAUAUUAAUGCAUUUUGUUUAGUGAGCGAGAGGUUGAGGAGAAAACCGAACGUAAAAGGCUGCUAAACACAGGCUCCGUGAGCAGGACCGCUUUAAAAGUAAGUCUGUAUUACAGAUAAUUUUUUGAUGUUGUUUUAAUUGCCAAUGUCUUAAAAGAACUGUCACUGUUGUUGGGUGGUGUAUAAAAUCAUUUAUUUCUUAAAGCCUUAGGUUAAGUGGAUAAGUUAGCUCUUUCUAUAACCAUGCAUUGUGUUCGCAUUAUUAUUUUGUUGCAUACAAUUGAUGUUUUAUUGUUAAAUAGGUGUUUGAAUUAACUUGCGAUUAGUGAAAGAAAAGAGUAAUUUGCGCGACUUUUUGUAUGUAAAACUUUGUUUAUGCUAGCAGCUAAAGACAAUUCCUAGCCUAGAUGCAAAACUUUCUAAUAUGUCUUGGGACAUCAGCUGCACCAUCUCAACUACCACCCUAUGGCUUUAAGAAUGGUGAUAAGGAAUUCAAUUUAGUUUAUGGGGCUCUCACUGCUGCUAGUCCGUAAGUGAAGUGAUACAACAUUUGAAUUAGAAGAAUUCUGAUUUCAUUGCAAUAAAAGCAAGUGAGUCUUUCAAAAUCUUGUUGCUGUCAAUAGGAACAAGAUGUAGUGGAGAGACUCCAGGGAUUCUUGCUUCUUUGGAAAAGUUACUUUCCUUUAAUGACUAGGUACACUCAUAUUAACUUUAGGUUUUGUUGUAUCUGCUGGUAAAGAGAAUGAUUAUCAUGUUUAAUUAGUUUUUCUAAGUGAUUGAUCUUCUAACAAUUACUACCUUCAAAAUUACGAUAUGUAUAGGAGUAUAAUAGUUUUAAAAUUGUUUGAUUUUGAGUCAACUUGACGUGUUUAGUCCAAAAUUACGAUAUGUAUAUGAGUAUAAUGUUUUAAAAUUGUAAUUGAGUAUAUUUAAAUCACUGCUUAGUUAUUGAAAAUUAAAAUAUCUUCAAAAAAUUUGUUUUUUUUUACCAUUUACAGCCUAAUUAGUUUUGAUUACUAAAAAUAUGGAUAAUCCUAAUUUAGCUAGAGAUUUACUGUGAUAUUAUUGUGGCGAAAUUGUGGCUGUAUAGUUGGGAAACAUAAACUCAAGACCGGUGUUUUGCUACAGUUUAGUUUUGGUUUAGGUAGGGAUUAUUAAUUAUUAGUUGGAAUUUUGCUAGGAAAUAUUGUACUAGGUGAUUAGCCACUCAAUCCAUGCUACGGCAUGAAUCCUAGUUAACUCGAAACAAAUCUCCAACUAACUCUGUUUGAUAGAGAUUUGCUACAUAUUAGCUACGGUUUCUGUUGUAGCCAAUCACAAGUUUUCUUGUUGUGCUAGCUUUGAUUGCUGCCUACGAUUCACAGCCAAUAGAUAAAUUAUUUCACGACAUAAGUUGGUGACAUGGGUUAGAGACGAAAUAGAGGUUAAGAUUUAUUAUUGUAAUUGUUGCGAAUUCAUAUUUAUGUGAGAAAAUAUUUAAAAGAAAAAAAAAGUUGUUGUGUUAUGUGAAAGAACGUGGUACAUAUCAACAUUACAAAAAUAAAAUAAAUUGUCAAAAACACAUCAUCCUUAAAAUUUGAGUUUUCAUUUAGAUUGACGGUUAUUUUUUUUACUAAUGGUUUAUGGAAUCUUAGUAUUGUGCUUAGAGAAAACAAUUGUAAGAUGAUUGAAUUCUUUAAAUAUCAUUUUAAAUAUGAAAAAUUAAUAAAUUAGAAGAGGUGAAUUGGAUUCUUUAAACAUUUUGAUGACGUGUUUGACACGGAUUUCACUUAUAAAAGUAACACAUACAAUAUGUUUUUGCUUGAAUUUGUCAGUGUCACUUAUUAAAGAUGACAAUUGAAUCUCCUAAGCAAACACACUUGAUCAAGACCUACUUAGAUCGUACUACAUUAUUAGACAACAUAGACCUCCUGGAUCCCUAGCAGUUCUAGGAAACAAAUGGUUCUAGGUUCUUGAGACCUCACUAUAAAAGCCUCAUAAAGACUUCCGAUUCAGAUACACACUUUCUAAACCUAAAAAGACCGCCUACCUUUGAUAGCUACUGAUUGUGCAUUUGAGUGUUUGCAGGUAUCACUCCUAGAAUUUGUCACUAGGUUUCGAUCAACAUUUACUUCAACGUCUUGUUCGAAUGUCCUAUACCCUAGAUUGUAAACUUGAGUUUCAUAUUGGAAAACUCAAAAAGAAAAGCCUUGCAAACGUCUAAAUACUUAUGAUUGCAUAUAAAUAUAGUUGAAACUAUCAUUAGCAAGAUGAUGAUUUCUUUUAUUCCAUAAGUAUAACUUCAAAAGUACACAACUUAAAUGUUUAUAAAUAAAAUACACAACAUAAAUGAAACAUAAAUAAAACCAUCAUAUGACUUAAAGGCUUAUUAUCCCUUACUCAUAAUAGGCACUUCCUAAUAAAACAUCAACACAUACAACAAUAGCAACCAAAUUAAGACAAACCAGAAAAACAUGUAGAGUUAAUAAAAUCCAAAUCCAUCUCAUUUGGCAACAACCAAUGAAAUCAUAAAUGGAAGGAAAACGAGGAUGGCAGCAGAAUAAGUGAGAACUGGCGAAGAAGCAGAAGAUUGCGGUGUUGGUGCAGGAGCAGCACCCAUCCACAUUCCAGGCAUAUCAUUAGACGCUUUAUCAACAGUGUCUACUCCAUUGUUUUGAGCAGCAACAACCAUAACCAAAACCAUAACACAAGCUAUGAGCAUGCUGAAUUUCAUUGGU